ACUCCUACGGGAGGCAGCAGUCGGGAAUUUUGCGCAAUGGACGAAAGUCUGACGCAGCAACGCCGCGUGAGGGAUGACGGCCUUCUGGGUUGUAAACCUCUUUAGUCAGGGACGAUAAUGACGGUACCUGACGAAUAAGCCACGGCUAACUACGUGCCAGCAGCCGCGGUAAGUGCCAGCAGCCGCGGUAAU
rnacentral:rRNA from 1 species